rnacentral:rRNA from 1 species
GACGAACGCUGGCGGCGUGCUUAACACAUGCAAGUCGAACGAAAAGAGGGAAAGAGCUUGCUCUUUCCGGAAUUGAGUGGCAAACGGGUGAGUAACACGUAAACAACCUGCCUUCAGGAUGGGGACAACAGACGGAAACGACUGCUAAUACCGAAUAAGUUCCAAGAGCCGCAUGGCCCAUGGAAGAAAAGGUGGCCUCUACCUGUAAGCUAUCGCCUGAAGAGGGGUUUGCGUCUGAUUAGCUGGUUGGAGGGGUAACGGCCCACCAAGGCGACGAUCAGUAGCCGGUCUGAGAGGAUGAACGGCCACACUGGAACUGAGACACGGUCCAGACUCCUACGGGAGGCAGCAGUGGGGAAUCUUCCGCAAUGGGCGAAAGCCUGACGGAGCAACGCCGCGUGAGUGAUGACGGCCUUCGGGUUGUAAAACUCUGUGAUCCGGGACGAAAAGGCAGAGUGCGAAGAACAAACUGCAUUGACGGUACCGGAAAAGCAAGCCACGGCUAACUACGUGCCAGCAGCCGCGGUAAUACGUAGGUGGCAAGCGUUGUCCGGAAUUAUUGGGCGUAAAGCGCGCGCAGGCGGCUUCCCAAGUCCCUCUUAAAAGUGCGGGGCUUAACCCUGUGAUGGGAAGGAAACUGGGAAGCUGGAGUAUCGGAGAGGAAAGUGGAAUUCCUAGUGUAGCGGUGAAAUGCGUAGAGAUUAGGAAGAACACCGGUGGCGAAGGCGACUUUCUGGACGAAAACUGACGCUGAGGCGCGAAAGCGUGGGG